AGGCCUGAAGCUCCCGUCUCGUUCACAGGUCAAGUACAGUGUGGGCAAAUUCACUGCCGUCUCCCGUACGCCGCCCCUCCUGUGCACCUGAAAGCUGACAUGGAAGGACCCCUGUCGAGCCGGGGGGAGAAGGUAAAAGGCAGCUUUGCCCUUUAAGGACUCU
rnacentral:sRNA from 1 species